GAGUAACACGUAGAUAAUCUGACCUUUCAGACGGGGACAACUCAGGGAAACUUGUGCUAAUACCGAUGAGACCACAAGAAGGGAUUUUUGUGGCCAAAGGCGGGCAGCAAUGCUCGUGCUGAAAGAUGAGUCUGCGUCCUAGUCAGCUAGUUGGUGGGGUAAAUGCCUACCAAGGCUAAGACGGGUAGCCGGCCUGAGAGGGUGAACGGCCACACUGGGACUGAGACACGGCCCAGACUCCUACGGGAGGCAGCAGUGAGGAAUUUUCCGCAAUGGGCGCAAGCCUGACGGAGCGACGCCGCGUGAGGGAUGACAAGCUUUCGGGGUUGUAAACCUCUUUUAUUAAGGAAAAAAGAUCUAUAUGCUAAUAUCAUGUAGAUUUGAUGGUACUUAUUGAAUAAGCCCGGCUAACUACGUGCCAGCAGCAGC
rnacentral:rRNA from 1 species